UGACUGAGUGGCGGACGGGUGAGUAACGCGUGGGUAACCUGCCCUGUACUGGGGACAACAGUUAGAAAUGACUGCUAAUACCGCAUAAGCGCACAGGACCGCAUGGUCCGGUGCGAAAAACUCCGGUGGUACAGGAUGGACCCGCGUCUGAUUAGGUAGUUGGCGGGGUAACGGCCCACCAAGCCGACGAUCAGUAGCCGACCUGAGAGGGUGACCGGCCACAUUGGGACUGAGACACGGCCCAAACUCCUACGGAAGGCAGCAG
rnacentral:rRNA from 1 species